rnacentral:siRNA from 1 species
AGAAGCAGGGCACGUGCA